AGAGUUUGAUCCUGGCUCAGAAUCAACGCUGGCGGCAGGCUUAACACAUGCAAGUCGAACGCCCCGCAAGGGGAGUGGCGCACGGGUGAGUAACGCGUGGGAAUGUACCUUUCAGUUCGGAAUAACAGCGGGAAACUGCUGCUAAUACCGGAUAUUCUCCUCGGAGGAAAGAUUUAUCGCUGAAAGAUCAGCCCGCGUCAGAUUAGCUAGUUGGUGAGGUAAUGGCUCACCAAGGCUCCGAUCUGUAGCUGGUCUGAGAGGACGACCAGCCACACUGGAACUGAGACACGGUCCAGACUCCUACGGGAGGCAGCAGUGGGGAAUAUUGGACAAUGGGCGAAAGCCUGAUCCAGCCAUGCCGCGUGAAUGAUGAAGGCCUUAGGGUUGUAAAGUUCUUUUGUCAGGGAAGAUAAUGACGGUACCUGAAGAAUAAGCACCGGCUAACUUCGUGCCAGCAGCCGCGGUAAUACGAAGGGUGCUAGCGUUGUUCGGAAUUACUGGGCGUAAAGAGCGCGUAGGCGGCUAUACAAGUCAGGGGUGAAAUCCCGGAGCUUAACUCCGGAACUGCCUUUGAAACUGUAUAGCUGGAGUGUGUGAGGGGAUAGCGGAAUUCCUAAUGUAGAGGUGAAAUUCGUAGAUAUUAGGAGGAACACCGGUGGCGAAGGCGGCUAUCUGGCACACAACUGNNGCUGAGGGCGAAAGCGUGGGGAUCAAACAGGAUUAGAUACCCUAGUAGUCC
rnacentral:rRNA from 1 species